GACGAACGCUGGCUGCGUGCUUAACACAUGCAAGUCGUACGGCAAGGCCCUGUUUUUUUGGGGUGUUCGAGUGGCGAACGGGUGCGUAUCACUUGCGUAUCCUGCCCUUGACUUUGGGAUAACUUCAGGAAACUGGGGCUAAUACCGGUUAGUAGCUCCUUCUGUAUUGUGGGGGUUGGAAUGUUUCGACGGUUGGGGAUGGACUCGCUGCUUAUCAGUUUGGUGGUGGGGUAGUGGCUGACCCAGGCUUGGACGGGUAGCCGGCCUGAGAGGUAGACAGAUAAGAUGGGAACUGAGAUAGGGCGCAGAAGCGAAGGGGAGUCAGCAGUGGGGAAGAGUGCAAAAUGGGCGGAAGCCGGAGGCAGUAACGCCGCGUGCGGUAGGACAGCCUUCGGGUUGGAAAACGAAGUGGACUGUGACGAAGCGUAAGUGACGGAAAUGGAGAAAGAAGCACCGGUUAACUACGU
rnacentral:rRNA from 1 species